GACGAACGCUGGCGGCGUGCCUAAUACAUGCAAGUCGAGCGCAGGAAACUGACGGAACUCUUCGGAGGGAAGGCAGUGGAAUGAGCGGCGGACGGGUGAGUAACACGUAAGGAACCUGCCUCAAGGAUUGGGAUAACUCCGAGAAAUCGGAGCUAAUACCGGAUAGUUCAUCGGACCGCAUGGUCCGUUGAUGAAAGGCGCUCCGGCGUCACCUUGAGAUGGCCUUGCGGUGCAUUAGCUAGUUGGUGGGGUAACGGCCCACCAAGGCGACGAUGGAUAGCCGACCUGAACGGGUGAUCGGCCACACUGGGACUGAGACACGGCCCAGACUCCUACGUGAGGCAGCAGUAGGGAAUCUUCCACAAUGGACGAAAGUCUGAUGGAGCAACGCCGCGUGAGUGAUGAAGGUUUUCGGAUCGUAAAACUCUGUUGUAAGGGAAGAACACGUACGAGAGGGAAUGCUCGUACCUUGACGGUACCUUACGAGAAAGCCACGGCUAACUACGUGCCAGCCGCCGCCGUAA
rnacentral:rRNA from 1 species